GGGUAUAGCUCAGUGGUAGAGUGUCUACUUAGCAAGCACAAGGUCCUAGGUUCAAUCCCCAGUACCUCCA
rnacentral:tRNA from 1 species